CAGGGUAUUCUGCGCACGUACAGGUACUGCGACAAUGUCUGGACUUUUGUCCUGAGAGGCGCGACGUUCAAGAACGAGGAGAUUGCAGAACCCCUUUCCAAGGUGGAGACUGUGGCCUGUGAUUCCAGUCUGCGUAAGAAGCCUCCCCAACAGUAA
rnacentral:rRNA from 1 species